AGAGUUUGAUCCUGGCUCAGGAUGAACGCUAGCUACAGGCUUAACACAUGCAAGUCGAGGGGCAGCAUGGUCUUAGCUUGCUAAGGCCGAUGGCGACCGGCGCACGGGUGAGUAACGCGUAUCCAACCUGCCUUACACUCUUGGACAGCCUUCUGAAAGGGAGAUUAAUACAAGAUGUUAUCAUGAGUAAGCAUUUUCGCAUGAUUAAAGGUUUACCGGUGUAAGAUGGGGAUGCGUUCCAUUAGAUAGUAGGCGGGGUAACGGCCCACCUAGUCUUCGAUGGAUAGGGGUUCUGAGAGGAAGGUCCCCCACAUUGGAACUGAGACACGGUCCAAACUCCUACGGGAGGCAGCAGUGAGGAAUAUUGGUCAAUGGACGAGAGUCUGAACCAGCCAAGUAGCGUGAAGGAUGAAGGUUCUAUGGAUUGUAAACUUCUUUUAUACGGGAAUAAACGGAUCCACGCGUGGAUUUUUGCAUGUACCGUAUGAAUAAGGAUCGGCUAACUCCGUGCCAGCAGCCGCGGUAAUACGGAGGAUCCGAGCGUUAUCCGGAUUUAUUGGGUUUAAAGGGAGCGUAGAUGGGUUGUUAAGUCAGUUGUGAAAGUUUGCGGCUCAACCGUAAAAUUGCAAUUGAUACAGGCAGUCUUGAGUACAGUUGAGGUAGGCGGAAUUCGUGGUGUAGCGGUGAAAUGCUUAGAUAUCACGAAGAACUCCGAUUGCGAAGGCAGCUUACUAACCUGUAACUGACAUUGAUGCUCGAAAGUGUGGGUAUCAAACAGGAUUAGAUACCCUGGUAGUCCACACGGUAAACGAUGAAUACUCGCUGUAGGCGAUAUACAGUCUGCGGCCAAGCGAAAGCAUUAAGUAUUCCACCUGGGGAGUACGCCGGCAACGGUGAAACUCAAAGGAAUUGACGGGGGCCCGCACAAGCGGAGGAACAUGUGGUUUAAUUCGAUGAUACGCGAGGAACCUUACCCGGGCUUAAAUUGCAACCGAAUAUGGCGGAAACGCUAUAGCUAGCAAUAGCGGUUGUGAAGGUGCUGCAUGGUUGUCGUCAGCUCGUGCCGUGAGGUGUCGGCUUAAGUGCCAUAACGAGCGCAACCCUUGCCGAUAGUUACUAACAGGUUAUGCUGAGGACUCUGUCGGGACUGCCAUCGUAAGAUGUGAGGAAGGUGGGGAUGACGUCAAAUCAGCACGGCCCUUACGUCCGGGGCUACACACGUGUUACAAUGGGGGGUACAGAGGGCUGCUACCACGCAAGUGGAUGCCAAUCCCAAAAACCUCUCUCAGUUCGGAUUGAAGUCUGCAACCCGACUUCAUGAAGCUGGAUUCGCUAGUAAUCGCGCAUCAGCCACGGCGCGGUGAAUACGUUCCCGGGCCUUGUACACACCGCCCGUCAAGCCAUGGGAGCCGGGGGUACCUGAAGUGCGUAACCGCAAGGAGCGCCCUAGGGUAAAACUGGUGACUGGGGCUAAGUCGUAACAAGGUAGCC
rnacentral:rRNA from 1 species